UUCUUCCAAUACUUUAAGUGCUAAGAAAAAUUUAAAUUAUAAAGUGUCAAAUAAUAUUCCCAUUGUUGCAUAAACAUGAGAAAAAAUAUGGAUGGAAUUCUCAAUUUUGUUUUUGUUAUGAUUUCCUUUUAUCUAUUUCUUUUUGUAACGGUUUCCGUUUCAUCUAAAGUGUGUGAGUACAACCGCGAUUGUUAUGAUUAUUAUUGUGAUGAUCCCAGUGGCAUUCGAAGAUGCAUCAAAUAUCAAUGUCACUGCAUAUACAGGACCUAAAGCAGGAUAGCUAUGAACAUGUCUAUGGUACACCGAACCAACAUAUUGGUUAAGUUUGUGAAUCUAUUGAUUAUUUUCAUACUAGUUUCACACCAUAUCUAUACACAUAUUAUCUUCAAAUGUUCAUCAAUGAAGCUUAAUAUCAUUUGAUCUAUGGUGACUCCAUAAAAACACUAACUUAAUAGUGCUUUCUAAAAAAGCAGUAUUAAAUUUUUCACACAAAAACUUAAAAUAGAGCAUUUUUGGGAGUAUUUUAUAGGUUCAUCCCUAAUAUGCCGUUGUUCUAAUAUACACUUUUACGGGAUGCUAACAACAAAAAUAAAACAUGAGUAAGUUGUAUUGUUUAUAAGAUUUGUAAUGAAUUUUUGGGUUAAUAUAAAUUGAUUGGUGGUUUCUGAUAUGCAAUACAA